UCUAACCUGAAACGCGGGGCUCAGACCACACUGCCCCGCAAGCCGGCGCCAUGGGCAACCUGCGCUCCUCCCUCGGCCCCCCCGCACGGUGCCCCUGCCGCCGCCGCCGCUGCUGCAGGGCGGGAUAGAACGGAUCGAGGCGAGGAGAGACAAGAUGGCGGCUGUUCCGGAGAGGAGGAGACUGAGAAGCAGCAGGCGAGGCGGCGUGUGCCCUGUUUAUAGUAGCACUGCAGUAGCACCGAGACCCUUCGGCACAAAUGAGUGAGAGCGGAUGGUGCCCUGCUGCACUGCACCAAGUGCUGACUGGGCCACGGAAACUGGUAUGCAGGCAGCUUUAAGAGGUAAUGGGAUAUGUCACACCAAUGGUAAACUGAGACUAAGGAUCAGCCCUUGAAGCGGCACUGUACUUGAAGUGGUACUGUGAGGAAGCCACAGUACUGAAAGCCAUCAGUGCUUGACUGCACAAGACCAUGCCUCUCACAGAAGGCAAAUGAUGUUUUAUUUCAAAAGCUUUAUGAAAUGUAAAUUCAGUUACAUCCUUUCGAGUUUCUUCUUUGCAGGGCAACAAUAAAACAAUGAUGGACUUUUCUUA